UACGUAGGGAGCAAGCGUUAUCCGGAAUUAUUGGGUGUAAAGGGUGCGUAGACGGGAUAACAAGUUGGUUGUGAAACCCCUCGGCUCAACUGAGGAACUGCAACCAAAACUAUUAUUCUUGAGUGCAGGAGAGGAAAGUGGAAUUCCUAGUGUAGCGGUGAAAUGCGUAGAUAUCGCGCAGAACUCCGAUUGCGAAGGCAGCGUACCGGCGCCAGACUGACGCUGAGGCACGAAAGCGUGGGGAUCGAACAGG
rnacentral:rRNA from 1 species